UAAACUACAGUAUGGCAAUAUCAUCAUACACAGGUAUCAUGUUCAUUGUUCUCAUGAGUUUAGAGCUCAUUCAAACUGAUACAAGGUGUUUCCCAUAAACUGAAUGUUUCAAAAACCAAGUAAUCAAUAGGAAAGAUGAAUUAAAUAAUCAAAUUAAUAUCAAAAUUAAACUUGUUUCAUUUUCCAGUUUAAGAAAAAAAAUACAUAUAUACCAGUAUAGCACCAAAAUACCAUGAAUCCCGGAAGGAUCAACAGACAAGACAAGGUGAGAUGCAGACUAACUGAAGGAAUGAGGAUCUUGUUCCCUCUCAUCAGACACCUGUUCACACUUGUUCGCAUUUUAACCACUUUGCUCCAGUUCGCCCAUUCCGAUGCGUGAGGGGUUUGUGCCGCGGGCUGACGGUUCCUGGUUGAGAACUUUCUGGCCCUUUGGUUGGAACGGCUGUAACGACGUUGGGAGUAAGAACAUGAGCAGGGGAUGGCAGGAUUUUUCGGGAAGUUGUGCGAGUCUCGGACGAGUAUUGAGCCUUCGCAGAGGAGAGGAAGGGCGUCUGAAGCCUUCGGGCGGUUUUGGAGCCUGUUUUUCCGUUCAAGAAGAACCCCUCCGAAUGUCCAUGACGGUGAGCUCAGUUGCCGUAUUGAGUGCGUUGUUGCAGGUAAGACUUUAACAAAUACUCUAAUUGAUUUUCAGAAACUGCUUGUGCUAUUCAUGGUCACGGUGCUCCAGAACUUAUCCUCUUAGCACAGGGUGAAAGGAAGGGUAUAUAGACCACGGGCAGAACGCCAGUCCAUCACAGGGAAGUCACACACAUGCUCAUUCUCUCAUAUCCAUUAAAUCAUAUGAUGGGCAUGGAUCAGAAACAACUGAAAAGUGGAUAUAAACUCAAGUCCCUUUGGGAUGAAACGCUGAGCACGAACCACGGUGAAAAACCUCGAGAUAAGGACAUGUCAUGUAGGUGAGUGAAACAAAGAGGGAUGUGCAUCCCCUCCAGCCUUGUGCCCUGUGUUGCCGGGUUAGGCUCCGGUUCGCCGCAACCCCACUUGGGACAAGCGCUUUCAGUGUGUGUAAUUUAUUUCGGUUCUAAUGUUCCCUUUACAAUCUUUAUGACGUGCUUUGACAGCAAGCUACUUUAUGGCCCCUGUUUCUGGUGGGGGUAGCACUUGUGCCUCAAUAUGCCUUGGAUGUGGAGUUUGCAUCCCUUUCCUCCUACACUCUAGACUUGUUUCAAGUAUAUGGGUAUAAAAAGGAAGCGCCGGCACAGGUAAGGAACUUUUGUGAGAGGGGUUGCGAUCGGGGUCGGUGUCGGGGUCGUGGACAUCUUGGGGCACUCUGUCAUCGGCGCCUCGGUCUCUCUCUCUCGCUCACUGGUGGGUCCGGGGAAAGAAAUGGAGGUAGUGAUCAGCUCCAGCUGCUGCUGGCCCGUCCCCGACAUGCUACAAUGGGUGACUCCCAAGUGCC